AUUGAACGCUGGCGGCAGGCUUAACACAUGCAAGUCGAGCGGGGUGAUGGUGCUUGCACUAUCACUUAGCGGCGGACGGGUGAGUAAUGCUUAGGAAUCUGCCCAUUAGUGGGGGACAACAUCGCGAAAGGGAUGCUAAUACCGCACACGUCCUACGGGUGAAAGCAGGGGAUCACUUGUGACCUUGCGCUAAUAGAUGAGCUUACGUCGGAUUAGCUAGUUGGUGGGGUAAAGGCCUACCAAGGCGACGAUCUGUAGCGGGUCUGAGAGGAUGAUCCGCCACACUGGGACUGAGACACGGCCCAGACUCCUACGGGAGGCAGCAGUGGGGAAUAUUGGACAAUGGGGGGAACCCUGAUCCAGCCAUGCCGCGUGUGUGAAGAAGGCCUUAUGGUUGUAAAGCACUUCAAGCGAGGAGGAGGCUCUUUUGGUUAAUACCCAAGAUGAGUGGACGUUACUCGCAGAAUAAGCACCGGCUAACUCUGUGCCAGCCGCCGCAGUAA
rnacentral:rRNA from 1 species